rnacentral:tRNA from 1 species
UGGCUCAGUGGAUAGAGCGUCGGCCUGCAGACCGAAGGGUCCUGGGUUCGAUUCCCUG